CCCACCCAGUGGGUAUGGUUUGGGUCUAUACUUAUGGUUCAAUCGGUGGGGGCUCUUUUACCUCAAGGUAAGUGUUCACAGUUUUCUCUGACUUAUUUGGAUCUAUGUACUUAUGUGGUUCCGAUUUGACGUUUUUUAGUCCUGCAGGCCAGAUUGUCAUGAAAUGUUACAUGCAGGUCCGGAGUUUGGAUUUUACCUACCUUUUCUCUGUUUUACAGCUUGAUUUCGUUAAGAUGACGUCUACCUGGUUGGAGAUUGUUCUUUCCUGAUGUGGAAGUUUAGUUUGGGUCUUCGGUUCAGAAGGCAAAGAAGAGGAAGUGGAAGUACUAGGAAGUACUAGGAAGUACUAGGAAGCAAGGCAUUUAUGGACUGUUCCUACUAAGCUGAUUGGCUGCCCUGUUACUAGGCAGAUCUGGUUGUACCUGUUAUUAUAUUGC